rnacentral:rRNA from 1 species
AUACGGAGGAUGCGAGCGUUAUCCGGAUUUAUUGGGUUUAAAGGGAGCGUAGGUGGGAUAUUAAGUCAGCUGUGAAAGUUUGGGGCUCAACCUUAAAAUUGCAGUUGAUACUGGUUUCCUUGAGUACGGUACAGGUGGGCGGAAUUCGUGGUGUAGCGGUGAAAUGCUUAGAUAUCACGAAGAACUCCGAUCGCGAAGGCAGCUCACCGGGCCGGAACUGACACUGAUGCUCGAAAGUGCGGGUAUCAAACAGGAUUAGAUACCCUGGUAGUCCGCACAGUAAACGAUGAAUACUCGCCGUUUGCGAUACUCUGUAAGCGGCCAAGCGAAAGCGUUAAGUAUUCCACCUGGGGAGUACGCCGGCAACGGUGAAACUCAAAUGAAUUGACGGGG